rnacentral:rRNA from 1 species
UGCCAGCAGCCGCGGUAAUACGAAGGGCCCGAGCGUUAUUCGGAAUCACUGGGCUUAAAGCGUACGUAGGCGGAUACAUAGGCACCCUGUGAAAUCCCACGGCUCAACCGUGGAACUGCUUGGUGAACCAUGUGUCUUGAGAUAGGUAGGGGCUGUCGGAACGCUAGGUGGAGCGGUGAAAUGCGUAGAUAUCUAGCGGAACGCCAAAGGAGAAAUCAGGCAGCUGGGCCUAUUCUGACGCUGAGGUACGAAAGCGUGGGGAGCGAACGGGAUUAGAUA